UCACACAUCUACGUAGACCGCAUGUAUCACAAGUCGGGGGACAGAUCUCACGGUUCUGACUCUCAAAUCAAACAUUACUAACGUAUUGUUCAUUGGGUAUACACACGUGCAGACUAGACGCGUGCAUUACGUUACGUAGACCAGUUUUACGUCGACGCCGAGGUAUCUUUGGAUAUGAACAGCGUGCACGAGGUUGAUAACGUUUUAUUUAAAUAUAACGUAUGGUAUAUAUGGAAAAUGAUAUCAAACCAGCGAGUCUCUAGCGUUAAUGACGCCCCAAGAGAGACAGUCCUCUUCACCGGCAAUUACAUCUUUAUCAUACGAAGACGAACAAAAAUCCAGCAGAGCGGUUUGGUUUUUCGUCGGAAAUACGAAACUACCUUCGACGCAUCCCCAAAGCCUAUGGUCAUAUGUGGUACAGCAAAUUUGUGUGUUUGAGUUAUGCAUUUUUUUGUAUGCAUGAACCAUGAAAUUACUGAAACGAUAAAGAUUGACAUUCCGGUUUAGUCAGAAUUAUUGAUGAUGUAUAAGUUGAGAUGAAUAUUCAUCUACACGUUGUAUAAAUGUUGUUUAUUGGUUGUGAUUGAUCAAUUAAUUAUUCUGGAAAUGAAUGAAAUAAAAGAAUUGUGGAUAUUGUUGUGAUGUUGUAAGAAAUCUAUUGUAAGUCACGCGUGAUAUGCAUGAAAAGAUGAAUGUAGCUAUAAGACAAGGCAUUACGAUGU